rnacentral:rRNA from 1 species
AUGAACGCUGGCGGCGUGCCUCAUACAUGCAAGUCGCGCGAACAGACGAGGAGCUUGCUCCUCUGACGUUAGCGGCGGACGGGUGAGUAACACGUGGAUAACCUUCCUAUAAGACUGGGAUAACUUCGGGAAACCGGAGCUAAUACCGGAUAAUAUAUUGAACCGCAUGGUUCAAUAGUGAAAGACGGUUUUGCUGUCACUUAUAGAUGGAUCCGCGCCGCAUUAGCUAGUUGGUAAGGUAACGGCUUACCAAGGCAACGAUGCGUAGCCGACCUGAGAGGGUGAUCGGCCACACUGGAACUGAGACACGGUCCAGACUCCUACGGGAGGCAGCAGUAGGGAAUCUUCCGCAAUGGGCGAAAGCCUGACGGAGCAACGCCGCGUGAGUGAUGAAGGUCUUCGGAUCGUAAAACUCUGUUAUUAGGGAAGAACAAAUGUGUAAGUAACUAUGCACGUCUUGACGGUACCUAAUCAGAAAGCCACGGCUAACUACGUG